rnacentral:ncRNA from 2 species
GGGCGGCCGCGGAGGAGGGGGCGACCACAAGAUGGCGGACCUCUCGCUGCUUCAGGAGGACCUGCAGGAGGACGCAGACGGAUCCCUGGACUUUGUCUCACAAGAUGAAAUGUUGACGCCCCUGGGGAGAUUGGACAAGUAUGCUGCAAGUGAGAACAUAUUUAACAGAACCAACUGUGAGAGCGGAGCUGAUGGAACAGGUGCCUCACAUCGCACUGUUUUGUCAAGAAAACCGGCCUUCAAUACCAUAUGCUUUUUCAAAAUUCUUACUACCUAUUGUGGUUAGAUACCUUGCAGAUCAGAAUAAUCAGGUGAGGAAAACAAGUCAGGCAGCUUUGCUGGCUCUGUUGGAGCAGGAGCUCAUUGAACGAUUUGAUGUGGAGACCAAAGUGUGCCCUGUCCUCAUAGAGCUGACAGCCCCAGAUAGCAAUGAUGAUGUGAAAACAGAAGCUGUGGCUGUAAGUCAAA